CUGCACGAAUGGCGUAAUGAUGGCCAGCGGCUGUCUCCACCCGAGACUCAGUGAAAUUGAACUCAGCUGUGAAGAUGCAGUGUACCCGCGGCAAGACGGAAAGACCCCGUGAACCUUUACUAUAGCUUGACACUGAACAUUGAGCCUUGAUGUGUAGGAUAGGUGGGAGGCUUUGAAGUGUGGACGCCAGUCUGCAUGGAGCCGACCUUGAAAUACCACCCUUUAAUGUUUGAUGUUCUAACGUGGACCCGUGAUCCGGGUUGCGGACAGUGUCUGGUGGGUAGUUUGACUGGGGCGGUCUCCUCCUAAAGAGUAACGGAGGAGCACGAAGGUUGGCUAAUCCUGGUCGGACAUCAGGAGGUUAGUGCAAUGGCAUAAGCCAGCUUGACUGCGAGCGUGACGGCGCGAGCAGGUGCGAAAGCAGGUCAUAGUGAUCCGGUGGUUCUGAAUGGAAGGGCCAUCGCUCAACGGAUAAAAGGUACUCCGGGGAUAACAGGCUGAUACCGCCCAAGAGUUCAUAUCGACGGCGGUGUUUGGCACCUCGAUGUCGGCUCAUCACAUCCUGGGGCUGAAGUAGGUCCCAAGGGUAUGGCUGUUCGCCAUUUAAAGUGG
rnacentral:rRNA from 1 species